AACUGACAAUAGGGGAUACCAAUACUUACUCCCUACUGACUAAGACAGACCAAAAGCUCCCAGAAUUCCAAGGGGGGAGACAUACACUGACCUAGUCCAAUUGGCCAAGGUAUCACUGGAAAGGUGGCAUUUGAAAUUGAUUCUUGAGGUGAGAGUAUAAUUUAAUGACGCAGAAGACAUAGGCUCUAGAGAAUCAUGGGAGGGAGAAUGAGAAUUCAGGAGCACCCGCCUCCAGCCCCUUUCCUGUCUCCAGUAGUUUGUGGGUCCCCUCUUUUAUGACAAUGGCUAACAAGGUGUGACACGGGCUAUCAUGGCUGGCAGUGAUAGAUUCCAGAUAAUACCAGUGGGCAGGUGUUAUGCAAUUUGUCUCCUAGGGGCUCUCUAAGUCCAUCACUGACUCCGACAUGAAAAAUGAGGAUUAAAGUUGCUUUAACAGUGUCUUAGCAAACACAGAGUUAGGCAGGCAAACUUCUGACAUGGUUUGUGGAAGAUGUUCAUAGUACUCAAGUCAUGUAAAAGGAAGCCCUGUAUAGCUGUGACUUUUUUUCUCAAGCAAUAAACAGGGCCAGUUCAUUGGUCUGUUCGGAAAGAAUUCCUCAAAGAGAAUGGGAAGCUUACCUUAGUCCGCGCUGUCUGCAAAAGGAAAAAGAUCAAUACCCACGUGGGAGAAGGAGCUGAUGUCGGUGAGAUAGUGUCGCUCUGGCAGGAAAUCCAUCUAUCUGAAGUUAGGUGGGGCUGCCACAGCACAGCAGCCUGCAACCUGAGUCCCCUCAACACAGAAGCAGCGCGGCCCCGUGACUUACCAAUUUGACUGCUCUCUGCUCUGGCCUGACUACUAGACAGCCAGGAAGGAACUUUUCUUCAUUUAAGGGGUACCUUAUUAUAAGAGAAAAACCAAAUAAACUGGAAAUUCAAGGUCUUGGAGCCCACUGCUGUCGGCAGUCCAUGGCAAACCGCCCCCCUCCCCAAGCUUCCAGAUCCUGGCUCAAUCCUGAAGACCUCAGAGUAGACUGGUCCUUCCCCCCACCCACUGGUCAGUCCAGCCUCUUCGGCCGUAGCUUCCUCCACUCAGCCGUGUUUACUGUGGGUUUGCCCGGACCUGGACGUCACCCGGAACUGCUCUGCUUCCGAUUUCUGCUCUCUGAGCACAAUUUCCUGCCUUCCCACUCUGGCCCUGUCUUGGCCCUGUGACCCCAGCUCUGUCACACCGUAGGACAUUCCACUCUCAAGUCCUUCCGUUUCUCAUUUCUAGCAGCCCUUCCAACACAUCCAUCUUUUCCACUGUGCAGGCCAGACUCCACGUUCUGUUGCUCCAAAUACUUUGAGAACCUCAUCUCUUCCCUUUGGGCCUCUAGAUCCACUUCUCCUUCAGAAGCUUAGGGAUCAGUCAUUGCCCCCCGCCACCAUCCCUUCCCUCUCCACCAGCUCCUUCAUGCCACAUUGUGUCCACAUGCGAGCUCAGGUUGCCUCCACGUUAAUAACGGGCCUUUGUCGCAACUCCGUCUCCCGUCUAGCCUCUGAAAUGUGGACAUUGCCCCUGCCAUCUCCAAAUUUAUCCUGGCUAAAAUCAACAAUGAUUUCUUAAUUGACAAAUCCCCUGGACACAAUUUUUUAAAUUAUGAAAUAUAGCAAACAUUUUGAAAAGGACAGAUAAUAAUAGGAUACACUCUCUUGUACUGGACACCCAGAUAUAACAAAUGCUAUAUAUGCUUAAGGUAGUUAAAGUUUUUUGUUUGUUUGUUGAGUAAUAAAAUGCUACAGAGAUACA
rnacentral:lncRNA from 1 species